GGGGUUGUGGCUCAGCGGUAGAGCGCUCACCUAGCGUGUGUGAGGCCCUAGGUUCAUCCUCAGCACCA
rnacentral:tRNA from 1 species